UACGUAUGGUGCAAGCGUUAUCCGGAUUUAUUGGGCGUAAAGCGAGCGCAGGCGGUUGGAUAAGUCUGAAGUUAAAGGCUGUGGCUCAACCAUAGUAUGCUUUGGAAACUGUUCAACUUGAGUGCAGAAGGGGAGAGUGGAAUUCCAUGUGUAGCGGUGGAAUGCGUAGAUAUAUGGAGGAACACCGGUGGCGAAAGCGGCUCUCUGGUCUGUAACUGACGCUGAGGCUCGAAAGCGUGGGGAGCAAACAGG
rnacentral:rRNA from 1 species